AAAAUCAAACUUUUUUUUUUCUUAGCUGUAAAAUCAAAAGGUUGUUUUGGGUGUUAAAAAGAGUACAAAUUAAUAUAUUAACUUUUCACAAGUCUUAGAACAUUCUAGGUGGAAGGGAGGUAUCUUUUCCUCCUUCGCAUGUAGAUUCACAUGAAAAUAUGCCAAAUGUUCCCCAUAUUUGAGAACAUGGCCAGAGAAAUCAUAUUUUCUUCCCUUGAUAUGAAACUGUGCUGAUCAGAUUUGGUUACUUCCUCUGUCAAGCACCAAAGGGGCCUUCUUUUAUAAGAACCUAAACAAGCAUAUGAGCCACCUUACUAUCCAAGACAAGAGGACAAAAGACCAUGCAUGGAAAUUUGAACCCUUUCAUCUCCAGAACUCUUAUGAGAGUGAAGACUGAGUAGAAAUACUCAAAUUGUAUUUAAGGAAAUUCCGAGUUCAGAUCAAUCUUAUGUCUCAGAGGAAAUUCCGGGAACUAAAAGAAGAAUAGAUAUGCAACCACUUGGUAGGUGUUUAUUAUUUAUCAUUCCCUUGUAUUUCCAUCUGUUUA
rnacentral:lncRNA from 1 species